UGAGCAGGGGCAUCUUCAGGUAGAUGUUUUGUACUCUCCAGCUUGGAGGCUUAGUCUAUACCAUUUUUGAAAGUUAGUGGAUUCUGAGGAAACUGUCAGACAAAACAUAGUGGCUGCUGGAGACAGCAAUUUGCAGGGGUGGCAGGAAAAGCAGCAAAAGAGGGAGGAAAGCGUUGAGGAAAUCCAAGCACCUGAGGAAUGUACGUAAGAAGAUACCUUAUCCUUCUGGAAACUUGUUAAAAAGGACUAAGAGAAGGCCUUUUUUACCGACUUAGCGCAGCCCAGUGCCGGUACUUUCCAAGUUUUUUGGAAAAUGAAGGUGAUUUUGUCUCAUUUUGUUCCUCUUGCUCUUCUCUUUUUAUGAUUAUCAUUCAGGACUCGGUCAGCUAUUCAAUAAGUUCACCAGUGCAGCUGGCUUCAGAAGAAGAUGUUUCCUAUUCUUUGCGUUCAUAGGCUCAUAAAUCCAGCCUGCUGAGAAUAUUAAAAGGAGAAAAAUACUCAGGCAGGAAUAAAGCAUAUCAGAAAGAGAGACUGAAUGUAACUGGGGAAACAUUUACUCAAAUUACAUAUUAAGCAAUUUGCUCUUUAAUACUGAAGGAAUAUAUAGAGAAAAUAUAUUAACUGUACUUACCAAGAGCCCUCUGAAUCCAUCAAAUGCUGUUAAAACCAGACAUUUUUGAACAAGAAGAACAUUCUGUAUACCAUGUAUUGUUUUCAAAAGUUAUUUUUAGUGCAGUAAAUAUUAAA